GGCGAGGGGAGUGAAAAAGAACCUGAAACCGUGUACGUACAAGCAGUGGGAGCACGCUUCGGCGUGUGACUGCGUACCUUUUGUAUAAUGGGUCAGCGACUUAUAUUCUGUAGCAAGGUUAACCGAAUAGGGGAGCCGAAGGGAAACCGAGUCUUAACUGGGCGUUAAGUUGCAGGGUAUAGACCCGAAACCCGGUGAUCUAGCCAUGGGCAGGUUGAAGGUUGGGUAACACUAACUGGAGGACCGAACCGACUAAUGUUGAAAAAUUAGCGGAUGACUUGUGGCUGGGGGUGAAAGGCCAAUCAAACCGGGAGAUAGCUGGUUCUCCCCGAAAGCUAUUUAGGUAGCGCCUCGUGAAUUCAUCUCCGGGGGUAGAGCACUGUUUCGGCAAGGGGGUCAUCCCGACUUACCAACCCGAUGCAAACUGCGAAUACCGGAGAAUGUUAUCACGGGAGACACACGGCGGGUGCUAACGUCCGUCGUGAAGAGGGAAACAACCCAGACCGCCAGCUAAGGUCCCAAAGUCAUGGUUAAGUGGGAAACGAUGUGGGAAGGCCCAGACAGCCAGGAUGUUGGCUUAGAAGCAGCCAUCAUUUAAAGAAAGCGUAAUAGCUCACUGGUCGAGUCGGCCUGCGCGGAAGAUGUAACGGGGCUAAACCAUG
rnacentral:rRNA from 1 species